GACGGAGGAUGCAAGCGUUAUCCGGAAUGAUUGGGCGUAAAGCGUCCGCAGGUGGCAGUUCAAGUCUGCUGUCAAAGACCGGGGCUUAACUUCGGAAAGGCAGUGGAAACUGAACAGCUAGAGUAUGGUAGGGGCAGAGGGAAUUCCUGGUGUAGCGGUGAAAUGCGUAGAGAUCAGGAAGAACAUCGGUGGCGAAGGCGCUCUGCUGGACCAUAACUGACACUCAUGUGCGAAAGCGUGGGGAGCAAACAGG
rnacentral:rRNA from 1 species